CAAAUCCUAGCCGGAAGAAUUUGAAAAAAUUUGCUUCUUUUGGCCAGCAAUUUGAAUUUCUUUUCCCUCCCUUUCAUCUCCUUGCUUGCUGGGCCAAAAUACUUGAGUCCAACACAGUCUGGCCCAACAAAGCCCAAUCCUGAAGAAAGAAAAGCUUUGACGCCAAACAAAAAAAACAAUUCAAUCACAGACAAACCGUUCCAUUUUGACGCCCACAAGUUGUUGCUUUCUUUCUCCAUCUUCACACCAUUCCAUUUUGGUGAAAAACCAAAAGCUGCUUUGCAAUCCUAUUCUACAAGCUUUGACUAAUACUUUCAAAAUUCAAAUUUUGCAGCUUGACCCGUCCCUUUCAUGUUGCUGCUGCUAAUACUGUUGUUUUCUCCUUUGUUAGAAUCAAUUUCAAAAUUCAAAAUUCAAUUUAUCCCACUCUUUUUCAAUAUCUAAACUCACUUUCUUACUCAUCUUUCUCCUUGAUUCCUUCAAACUUCUUCUCUCUCCAUGAAUCAACCGUCUUGAAUGGCACAAGCCAUAAUCUCCAAAGGUUUUCUUCUCAAUCUUCUCAAUCGAAUCCUCCAACCUGUUUCAAGACCCAUCCAGCAGAGAUUUUUGUUGAUUUCGAAAGUUGGAUGCUUUACUGCUCUAAAAAGUCAGACAAACACGGAAGCAUUGUUGUUUUUUUAAAUUCAGAGAUUUUGUCGAUUUUCAAAGUUGGAAGGCAGACAAACAGGAGUAAGAGCUUAAUUUUUUUGCUAAUGAUAAUUAUUUUCAUGUUUCUUCAUCAAAUUGUAGUUUCAAAUCAUAUCAUUUAUGAAUUUUGCUUAUUUAUCUUUGUACUUCAAAUCUAUUUUUGCAUCAAUAUUGUUGUUAGCAAGGAAUCCAAUUUACUAAUGUAUGGUGGAGAAUUACUUGAAUGAGAUUAACUCUUAUUUAUAGUUGACAUGAGAUUGAGUUUAUUUUUUGAUAU